GUGGGGAAUCUUGCGCAAUGGGCGAAAGCCUGACGCAGCCAUGCCGCGUGAAUGAUGAUGGUCUUAGGAUUGUAAAAUUCUUUCACCGGGGACGAUAAUGACGGUACCCGGAGAAGAAGCUCCGGCUAACUUCGUGCCAGCAGCCGCGGUAAUACGAAGGGGGCUAGCGUUGCUCGGAAUUACUGGGCGUAAAGGGCGCGUAGGCGGACAGCUUAGUCAGAGGUGAAGGCCCAGGGCUCAACCUUGGAAUUGCCUUUGAUACUGGCUGUCUUGAGUUUGGGAGAGGUGAGUGGAACUCCGAGUGUAGAGGUGAAAUUCGUAGAUAUUCGGAAGAACACCAGUGGCGAAGGCGACUCACUGGCCCAAUACUGACGCUGAGGCGCGAAAGCGUGGGGAGCAAACAGGAUUAGAAACCCUUGUAGUCC
rnacentral:rRNA from 1 species